GAGUCCUGGCUCAGGAUAAACGCUGGCACCAUGCCUAAGUACAUGCAUGUCGUACGAGAGCUUCGGACUCUAGUGGCAAAUGGGUGAGUAACACGUAAGGAACUUCCCUAGGCGACGAGGAUAACGGUUGGAAACGACUGCUAAGUACUGGAUAGUAUAUAGAACCGCAUGAUUUUAUAUUUAAAGGUCCGUUUGGACCACGCUAGGAUAGCCUUGCGGCGCAUUAGAUAGGUGGUGAGGUAACGGCCCACCAAGUCUAUGAUGCGUAGCUGCACUGAGAGGUGAAACAGCCACAUUGGGACUGAGACACGGCCCAAACUCCUACGGGAGGCAGCAGUAGGGAAUUUUCGGCAAUGAGCGAAAGCUUGACCGAGCAAUGGUGCGUGAAAUGAUGAAGGUCUUUGGAUUGUAAAAUUCUUUAUUGGGGAAGAAAAAUCGAUUAGGAAAUGAUUCGAUCUUGACGGUACCCAUUGAAUAAGCCCCGGCCAACUAUGUGCCAGCAGCCGC
rnacentral:rRNA from 1 species